rnacentral:rRNA from 1 species
GACGAACGCUGGCGGCGUGCUUAACACAUGCAAGUCGAACGGAAAGGCCCUGCUUUUGUGGGGGGCUCGAGUGGCGAACGGGUGAGUAACACGUGAGUAAACUUCCCUUGACUUGGGGAAAACGUCAGGAAACUGGGGCUAAUACCGGAUAGGAGCUCCUGCUGCAUGGUGGGGGUUGGAAAGUUUCGGCGGUUGGGGAUGGACUCGCGGCUUAUCAGCUUGUUGGUGGGGUAGUGGCUUACCAAGGCUUUAACGGGUAGCCGGCCUGAGAGGGUGACCGGCGACAUUGGGACUGAGGUACGGCCCAGACUGCUACGGGAGGCAGCAGUGGGGAAUAUUGCACAAUGGGCGGAAGCCUGAUGCAGCGACGCCGCGUGCGGGAUGCCGGCCUUCGGGGUGUAAACCGCUUUCGCCUGUGACGAAGCGUGAGUGACGGUACUGGGUAAAGAAGCACCGGCUAACUACGUG